rnacentral:rRNA from 1 species
UGGGGAAUAUUGCACAAUGGGGGAAACCCUGAUGCAGCAACGCCGCGUGAAGGAAGACGGUUUUCGGAUUGUAAACUUCUUUUCUUAGUGAAGAAGCAAGUGACGGUAGCUAAGGAAUAAGCAUCGGCUAACUACGUGCCAGCAGCCGCGGUAAUACGUAGGAUGCGAGCGUUAUCCGGAAUUACUGGGUGUAAAGGGAGCGCAGGCGGGACUGCAAGUUGGAUGUGAAAUACCGCAGCUUAACUGCGGAGCUGCAUCCAAAACUGUAGUUCUUGAGUGGAGUAGAGGCAAGCGGAAUUCCGAGUGUAGCGGUGAAAUGCGUAGAUAUUCGGAAGAACACCAGUGGCGAAGGCGGCUUUCUGGACUGAAACUGACGCUGAGGCUCGAAAGCGUGGGGAGCGAACAGGAUUAGAUACCCUGGUAGU